rnacentral:rRNA from 1 species
CCUACGGGCGGCAGCAGUGAGGAAUAUUGGUCAAUGGACGAGAGUCUGAACCAGCCAAGUAGCGUGAAGGAUGACUGCCCUAUGGGUUGUAAACUUCUUUUAUAUGGGAAUAAAAUGUUCCACGUGUGGGAUUUUGUAUGUACCAUAUGAAUAAGGAUCGGCUAACUCCGUGCCAGCAGCCGCGGUAAUACGGAGGAUCCGAGCGUUAUCCGGAUUUAUUGGGUUUAAAGGGAGCGUAGGUGGAUUGUUAAGUCAGUUGUGAAAGUUUGCGGCUCAACCGUAAAAUUGCAGUUGAAACUGGCAGUCGUGAGUACAGUAGAGGUGGGCGGAAUGCGUGGUGUAGCGGUGAAAUGCUUAGAUAUCACGAAGAACUCCGAUUGCGAAGGCAGCUCACUGGACUGCAACUGACACUGAGGCUCGAAAGUGUGGGUAUCAAACAGGAUUAGAUACCCCAGUAGUC